GAUGAACGCUAGCGGGAGGCCUAACACAUGCAAGCCGAGCGGUAGAGAUUCUUCGGAAUCUUGAGAGCGGCGUACGGGUGCGGAACACGUGUGCAACCUACCUUUAUCUGGAGGAUAGCCUUUCGAAAGGAAGAUUAAUACUCCAUAAUAUAUUGAUUGGCAUCAAUUGAUAUUGAAAGCUCCGGCGGAUAGAGAUGGGCACGCGCAAGAUUAGUUAGUUGGUGAGGUAACGGCUCACCAAGACGAUGAUCUUUAGGGGGCCUGAGAGGGUGAGUCCCCCACGACUGGUACUGAGACACGGACCAGACUCCUACGGGAGCAGCAGUGAGGAAUAUUGGUCAAUGGGUGCAAGCCUG
rnacentral:rRNA from 1 species